rnacentral:rRNA from 1 species
CAGUCGCCACGGGAAUACGUAGGGUGCAAGCGUUAAUCGGAAUUACUGGGCGUAAAGCGUGCGCAGGCGGUUAUAUAAGACAGAUGUGAAAUCCCCGGGCUCAACCUGGGAACUGCAUUUGUGACUGUAUAGCUAGAGUACGGCAGAGGGGGAUGGAAUUCCGCGUGUAGCAGUAAAAUGCGUAGAUAUGCGGAGGAACACCGAUGGCGAAGGCAAUCCCCUGGGCCUGUACUGACGCUCAUGCACGAAAGCGUGGGGAGCAAACAGGAUUAGAUACCCGUGUAGUCCCUGUCUCUUAUAC